GACAGAGGGUGCAAACGUUGUUCGGAAUUACUGGGCGUAAAGCGCGUGUAGGCGGCCAUCUAGGUCGGGCGUGAAAUCCCACGGCUCAACCGUGGAAGUGCACUCGAAACUGGAUGGCUAGAGUCCUGGAGAGGAAGGUGGAAUGCUUGGUGUAGAGGUGAAAUUCGUAGAUAUCAAGCGGAACACCGGUGGCGAAGGCGGCCUUCUGGACAGUGACUGACGCUGAGACGCGAAAGCGUGGGGAGCAAACAGG
rnacentral:rRNA from 1 species